GUUAUUGCGAUGGAGGGACGGAGAAGGCUAGGCCAGCUUGGCGUUGGUUGUCCAAGUUUAAGGUGGUAGGCUGGAAUCUUAGGUAAAUCCGGGAUUCUAAGGCCGAGAGCUGAUGACGAGUUACCUUUUAGGUAACGAAGUGGUUGAUGCCAUGCUUCCAAGAAAAGCUUCUAAGCUUCAGGUAACCAGGAACCGUACCCCAAACCGACACAGGUGGUCGGGUAGAGAAUACCAAGGCGCUUGAGAGAACUCGGGUGAAGGAACUAGGCAAAAUGGUGCCGUAACUUCGGGAGAAGGCACGCUGGCGUUAGGUGAAGUGGUUCGCCCAUGGAGCUGAAGCCAGUCGCAGAUACCAGCUGGCUGCAACUGUUUAUUAAAAACACAGCACUGUGCAAACACGAAAGUGGACGUAUACGGUGUGACGCCUGCCCGGUGCUGGAAGGUUAAUUGAUGGGGUAAGCCGUAAGGCGAAGCUCUUGAUCGAAGCCCCAGUAAACGGCGGCCGUAACGAUAACGGUCCUAAGGUAGCGAAAUUCCUUGUCGGGUAAGUUCCGACCUGCACGAAUGGCGUAAUGAUGGCCAGGCUGUCUCCACCCGAGACUCAGUGAAAUUGAACUCGCUGUGAAGAUGCAGUGUACCCGCGGCAAGACGGAAAGACCCCGUGAACCUUUACUAUAGCUUGACACUGAACAUUGAGCCUUGAUGUGUAGGAUAGGUGGGAGGCUUUGAAGUGUGGACGCCAGUUCGCAUGGAGCCGACGUUGAAAUACCACCCUUUAAUGUUUGAUGUUCUAACUUGGGCCCGUAAUCCGGGCUGAGGACAGUGUCUGGUGGGUAGUUUGACUGGGGCGGUCUCCUCCCAAAGUGUAACGGAGGAGCACGAAGGUUGGCUAAUCACGGUCGGACAUCGUGAGGUUAGUGCAAAGGCAUAAGCCAGCUUGACUGCGAGCGUGACGGCGCGAGCAGGUACGAAAGUAGGUCUUAGUGAUCCGGUGGUUCUGAAUGGAAGGGCCAUCGCUCAACGGAUAAAAGGUACUCCGGGGAUAACAGGCUGAUACCGCCCAAGAGUUCAUAUCGACGGCGGUGUUUGGCACCUCGAUGUCGGCUCAUCACAUCCUGGGGCUGAAGUAGGUCCCAAGGGUAUGGCUGUUCGCCAUUUAAAGUGGUACGCGAGCUGGGUUUAGAACGUCGUGAGACAGUUCGGUCCCUAUCUGCCGUGGACGUUUGAGAUUUGAGAGGGGCUGCUCCUAGUACGAGAGGACCGGAGUGGACGAACCUCUGGUGUUCCGGUUGUCACGCCAGUGGCAUUGCCGGGUAGCUAUGUUCGGAAAAGAUAACCGCUGAAAGCAUCUAAGCGGGAAA
rnacentral:rRNA from 1 species